rnacentral:rRNA from 1 species
UACGGAAGGGGCAAGCGUUGUUCGGGAAUCAUUGGGCGUAAAGGGCGCGUAGGUGGUUCUGUAUGUCUACCGUGAAAGCGUACGGCUCAACCGUAUUUUGUCGGUAGAAACUGCAGGACUUGAGGCUGGGAGGGGCUGGUGGAAUUCCCUGUGUAGCGGUGAAAUGCGUAGAUAUUGGGAAGAACACCAGUGGCGAAAGCGGACUUCUGGGUUGUUACUGACGCUGAGGUACGAAAGCGUGGGGAGCAAACGGG